ensembl:lncRNA
CACACACACACACACACACAAAAAGGCACAUACGGUCCACUAUCUUUACAUUUCCACAAAAUGCAUCUCAAGGGAUUUUCCUGUCUUCCUGCAAAUUUUUCAAGAUAGGUUUGAGAGCAUUUAUGUUUAAAUAUGAUAUUCAUCUGCUUAAUAGACAUUUCCACUAAAAAAGGCCACCACUGUACUCUGCAGUUGGAGCACUUCUUACUGAAGGAUUUGGCUUCAUCUUCAAGUUUGGACUUUAAGUCUUCCUGAUAGAGGAAGACAGCAGCUUGAAAUAUGUCUAAAUUUAACUUCUUUCCUUAUGUGUAAACUGUCAUAAUGACAAACUCAUCUACAUGUGAAUACAGCUUUACUAAUAAGCUUCCCUGAACUUCCAGAAAAGGACACGGAAUAUUCUGUGUAGUACUCAAAGGCAAGUACCCUGUCCCUGUCACCCUAAGCUGGGACUUUCUGAUGCUGCUCUCAAGCAGAGGAAGUGCUGGAGGAAACACUCUCCUUGGACUCUAUAACCCUGAAGAUGCAGAGAAACAGCCAGCAGCUGCAGUUUAUAGUCGAACCCCAGGAUAGCAAGUCUCAGUAUAGUUCCUGGUAACAAUGGCUGGAUGAGAGCCAUAGCGUACAUCUCUGCAGACAUAGCUCAUGUUCCUGAAUCCAGGGGCCUGAGUGCUGUACCUGAAACCUAAAAAACCGCAGGUUUUUAUCUGCUUCCUACUCCAACUGCUGACAAGCAAUGGAUGCUCUCAUGUGGAGAUUUCUUCUGAGCAGUGAAAGAGAGAGAAAAAAAAAAAAGCAAUGGGUCUGUGAACAGAACAGUGUGAAAGUGUGUCAGAUGCAAGAGCAAAUUUUUGUUUUACUCCAGGAAAGACUUGCCUCCCAUCUGACACAUUUAUUGGCUCUGUCUCUCAAAGUGUGUGUUUGCUUGAAGUUGCUGACUUUAGUCUUGUUUCUACUCCUUGUUGUUUCUCUUAUUGAUGGCUUCUCCAAACUCACAGCACUGUGUUUAACAAGGAAGUGAUGGGCUGCUGAUCAAAGGUGUGCCUGAUAAUCAAAACCCUUCUAGGUUCUUCUGUGGUGAGAUGAUAUAGCACUCUACCUCAUCCUCUCUUCCUGCCAGUACUGCCUGGAAACAACUCUGGGAUAAUCUCAGGAGGCCUGUUACCUUAAUUGCAUGCAUCAAACACUUUAUUUUGCAAUAAAAGCAGCUACAAAUGUGCUGUUAGACAACUUCCUACUGGUAGCCAAAUAUUGUAUACCUAGAGAUAAAACAGAUUCUAUAAAAAUAUUGGUUAAUUAAUAUGGGACAGAUUUUCAUGGAGGAGCACUAAUUACAUGUGACAUCUUAUUAUUUGUAUUAAAUGUAGUUGCCCUGGGAGAGAUGGCAAGGUGUCAAUGAACAUAAGGCUCUGAGAAGAGGAACUUUUAUAAGCCAUUACCAGAUACUGCAAACCACCAAACCACCAUAAACCACUGGAAACCACUGAAUGGGAGUGAGAAUUAGUGCACUCAUCAAUGUUUAGUCACCACAGAUAUAAGGAAUGAAGGAUAUAAGAGCCUGAAAACAUUCAAGAGGAAAAUGUCCAAAUAUAGAUCUUUCUGUUGUCAAAUGGAUGCUUGGCAGAGGGAAAUCACUAUACUAGAUGAUGGGAGAUACACCAAUUGUCUAGAGCUUUUCUCAGAUUAUGAAGACUCUUCAGCUAUCUUAAGGAUUUCUCUGUUCUCUGAAGGCCUUCUACUCAAGGCCAGAAGUGAGAAAGAAGAUGGGAACUGUGCAUUCAAACCUAGGGAUUGAGAAGGGUGGAAUAUGGCUAAUCUUUGAUUCAGUUUUGUUCUGUUGGAGCAUGAGGAGUUGGGUAGAAAACAGCAUGCAGCUUCUGACUGAAAGGGGCA